rnacentral:rRNA from 1 species
GACGAACGCUGGCGGCGUGCCUAAUACAUGCAAGUAGAACGCUGCAGGCGGAGCUUGCUCUUCUGGAUGAGUUGCGACCGGGUGAGUAACGCGUAGGUAACCUGCCUCGUAGCGGGGGAUAACUAUUGGAAACGAUAGCUAAUACCGCAUAACAGUAGAUGUUGCAUGACAUUUACUUAAAAGGUGCAAUUGCAUCUCUACCAGAUGGACCUGCGUUGUAUUAGCUAGUUGGUGGGGUAACGGCUCACCAAGGCGACGAUACAUAGCCGACCUGAGAGGGUGAUCGGCCACACUGGGACUGGAACACGGCCCAGACUCCUGCGGGAGGCAGCAGUAGGGAAUCUUCGGCAAUGGACGGAAGUCUGACCGAGCAACGCCGCGUGAGUGAAGAAGGUUGUCGGAUCGUAAAGCUCUGUUGUAAGAGAAGAACGAGUGUGAGAGUGGAAAGUUCACACUGUGACGGUAUCUUACCAGAAAGGGACGGCUAACUACGUG